rnacentral:rRNA from 1 species
CGCUAGCCUGGGCGCAGCCUGAUGCAGCGACGCCGCGUGGGUGAUGAAGGCCUUCGGGUUGUAAACCCCUUUCGACGGGGACGAUGAUGACGGUACCCGGCGAAGAAGCACCGGCUAACUCCGUGCCAGCAGCCGCGGUAAGACGGAGGGUGCUAGCGUUGUUCGGAAUCACUGGGCGUAAAGGGCGCGUAGGCGGCUCUGCCAGUCGGCUGUGAAAACCCCGGGGUCAACCCCC